GCACUAACUGGGCGGAGCCUACGCAGAGCUCUGAGCGGAUCUUUCCGGUUAUGACCGUUGUUUGACAGAUCAGGACGGAGCGUCGCUUUCAGUACCUGUCAUUGAUGGCCCAGCUGUGCGUUGAGGUAAAAUGGGACAGAACACAUCGGGCCCAGAGUCCGCAGAAGCUCCUCAGCUGGACCGAUUUGGAAACAUCAAGAGUUUAGUGGAGGAUCAGCUGCAGACCAGCAUGGUCAGUAGUAGACAUUUUACACAAUCAAUAAAUCCACUGC
rnacentral:lncRNA from 1 species